CCUACGGGAGGCUGCAGUGAGGAAUAUUGGUCAAUGGCCGGAAGGCUGAACCAGCCAAGCCGCGUGAAGGACGAAGGUGCCACGCAUUGUAAACUUCUUUUGUCAAGGGACAAAAUCAGGCUCGAGAGCCUGACCGAGGGUACUUGAAGAAAAAGCCUCGGCUAACUCCUGUCCAACAGCCGCGGUAAUACGGGGGAAGCGAGCGUUAUCCGGAUUUAUGGGGGUUAAAGGGUGCGUAGGCGGACUGUUAAGUCAGUGGUAAAAUCCCGGGGCUCAACCCCGGCGAGCCGUUGAAACUGGCUGUCUUGAGAGGGAGAGAGGUAUGCGGAAUGCGUGGUGUAGCGGUGAAAUGCUUAGAUAUUGCGCAGAACCCCGAUUGCGAAGGCAGCAUGCCGGCGGCCAACUGACGCUGAGGCACGAAAGCGUGGGGAUCGAACAGGAUUAGAUACCCCAGUAGUC
rnacentral:rRNA from 1 species